GGGCGUGGCCUGUGCGAUGGGCUGGACAUGGCUGGGUACCGCGCGUGCGUAGAGCUGUCAGCCGCACCCACGCCGCGCUUCUACCAAAGUUGCAAAGCCACCAGCAGACCUGUCAGAACCGAGAAGAUCCCGGCGACCGAAGAAAGGCAAAACCGUUCCGUGUGGGCUGCCCGGAGUGGCAUCGAGUCUUGUUCGAGUCCGAAGAGCUUCCUGCUACUCUAAGCCGGUUUAAGUGAUGCGAGUAUCCUCCUCUUGUCCCACCCGGUCUGCGUCCUGAUACCUAGUGGACUCCGCCCCAGGAGUGCGAGCAUCCUGAACGUUCAAGGUGUCCUGCGCGGCGGAAGGCAUCCGGCCACACCCGGAACCUCGCUGGUCCCUCGCCGGCCAACGCCAGUCCAGGUGGUCAGGCUCAGGAUGGAUUGUGAGCUUUCAAAGAGCAAGGAGAUGGAAGCCAGCAAGUACGCCACCAGCCGAAUGAAUUGUUGCUCUAUGGCUUGCACAAAGUCAAGCAAAUUAUCUUCUCAUGUUAUGUAAUAUCUCAACAGCCUGCUUACCUUACUCCUUUAAUCUAGGUUAUUCUUGAAAGUAGCACUUGAAACAAAAAGUCGAUACGUUCUACUGGGAAUGUGAAAGAAAAGCCAAGGUAAUUGGGGAAGCAUUGCCAAGAGCUCACUAGCUAUGUUAGACAAAAGCAUCCCAUGAGUCUUAAUAAAUUUUUUCUGACAUAUGUCUUUUCAAUGGACCAGAGAGGGAGGACGGGCACGCAUACACACACACACACACACACACACACACACACACACACACACACACACACACACAGAGAGAGAGAGAGAGAGAGACAGAGACAGAGACAGAGACAGAGACAGAGAGUCAAACAGAGAGAAGCAUUUUUCUUCUCUAUCAACAGCCAUCUCUGUAUGAGGAUUUCUCCCUUCACAUGGCAAUUGUGCCAUCCCUGUAGGCUGCCAGGGAACCUGCUUGGUACCGCCAUAUCAGAGACACCUCACGUAAGGAGGCUGGAUGCUUGCAAUAGUGCUUGAAGCAUUGUUAACAAAGAGCAGAGUCCAGUCUUCCAGAGUCAUGACCUGCCUGAAUCCAAAGUUGAAAAGACCUGAGUGGUGUAAAAGCAGCCUGUCAUACUCUGCAUAAUACCUUGUUAGGCCUGAAUAAAUCUAUUUGCACUUCUUUCUGUAAUCAUACUUAUGUAGAUAAGGUUGGCAGGAGGAAGAUUAAAUAUAUUAAAAGGUGUGUGUUUAUAACAGUUUUAACCUCAAGUCAUGUUUAUUUAUAAGAGAAAAAGACAGUGGAAUUUGGGAAAUUAAGAAAUGAUUCUUGCCUGGUGGUGGUGCCACAUACCUUUAAUCCAGCACUUGGGAGAAAAAGACAGGCAGAUCUCUGAUUUUGAGGGCAGCCCAGUCUAGAGAGUGAGUACCAAGACAACCACAGGACUACAUAGAGAAAUUUUGUCUCAAAAGAUUGAAAAAAACAAAGUCUCAAAUGUUAGAGUAGGGAGAGUGUCAGUUAUCUCUUUUUGAGCAGUCUCAUGAACAAUCAUGAAUCAGGAGAAGGGCUGAAAGAAGAAAACUAUUUCAAAUGUGAGCUUUAUAAAUUAUUGCCACAGACUUCCCCUAAGAGACUGUCUCCUGUUCUUAUGAUGUACCAGUGACAGAAAACGUAUGACUAAUGGAGAGAAACUAGUAGAUAUACAAGAAAAAAAGCAUUGGGAUAAUUGUCAUCUUAUAAAGAGCUGUCAUGAACAUUUGUCAGAA